UACGUAGGGCGCGAGCGUUGUCCGGAAUUAUUGGGCGUAAAGAGCUCGUAGGCGGCCUGUUGCGUCUGCUGUGAAAUCCCGGGGCUCAACCCCGGGCGUGCAGUGGAUACGGGCGGGCUAGAGGCAGGCAGGGGAGAACGGAAUUCCCGGUGUAGCGGUGAAAUGUGUUGAUAUUGGAAGGAACGCCGGUGGCGAAAGCGACACACUGGGUCUCAACUGACGCUGAGGCACGAAAGCCAGGGGAGCGAACGGG
rnacentral:rRNA from 1 species